CCUACGGGAGGCUGCAGUGAGGAAUAUUGGUCAAUGGACGAGAGUCUGAACCAGCCAAGUAGCGUGAAGGAUGACUGCCCUAUGGGUUGUAAACUUCUUUUAUAUGGGAAUAAAAUGUUCCACGUGUGGGAUUUUGUAUGUACCAUAUGAAUAAGGAUCGGCUAACUCCGUGCCAGCAGCCGCGGUAAUACGGAGGAUCCGAGCGUUAUCCGGAUUUAUUGGGUUUAAAGGGAGCGUAGGUGGAUUGUUAAGUCAGUUGUGAAAGUUUGCGGCUCAACCGUAAAAUUGCAGUUGAAACUGGCAGUCUUGAGUACAGUAGAGGUGGGCGGAAUUCGUGGUGUAGCGGUGAAAUGCUUAGAUAUCACGAAGAACACCGAUUGCGAAGGCAGUUCACUGGACUGCAACUGACACUGAGGCUCGAAAGUGUGGGUAUCAAACAGGAUUAGAUACCCGAGUAGUC
rnacentral:rRNA from 1 species